GUGUUCGGAUUGCGGCGACGUGAGCGGUUCGCCGCCCGCGACGUCGCAAGAAGUCCACUGAACCUUAUCAUUUAGAGGAAGGAGAAGUCGUAACAAGGUUUCCGUAGGUGAACCUGCGGAAGGAUCAUUGUCGAUGCCCUAAGACCACCGCGAACACGUUAUAAAAAACUCUCGGGGAGACGAAGGGCUAACGCCCACAAUUUCUCCGAAGCCAACUAAACAUCCGGCGCGAAAAGCGCCAAGGACUACUUGAAAGGAUCGUCUGCAUCCUCCCGCGGCCUCCGCGGUGCGGGUGCGGCACGUCUGAAUCGUAUAACCAAUAUGACUCUCGGCAACGGAUAUCUAGGCUCUCGCAUCGAUGAAGAACGUAGCGAAAUGCGAUACUUGGUGUGAAUUGCAGAAUCCCGUGAACCAUCGAGUUUUUGAACGCAAGUUGCGCCCGAAGCCAUUAGGCUGAGGGCACGUCUGCCUGGGCGUCACGCAUCGUCGCCACCUCCCCCUCUUUUUAUGAUCGAGUCGGGGGCGGCGGAAUUUGGCCCCCCGCGCUCUGCCGAGCGAGGCCGGCCUAAAUAAGAGUCCUCCUUUCGGGACGUCACGACUUGUGGUGGUUGAAAUUCUCAACUCGAUCGGUGUCGUGUCUCAACCCGUCGCGGAGCGUACUCCGAGACCCUGGAGCCUUAAGGCCCUCGACAAUGACCC
rnacentral:misc_RNA from 1 species